rnacentral:rRNA from 1 species
UCGAUGUCGACUCAUCGCAUCCUGGGGCUGAAGUAGGUCCCAAGGGUUGGGCUGUUCGCCCAUUAAAGCGGUACGAGAGUUGGGUUCAGAACGUCGUGAGACAGUUCGGUCCCUAUCUGUCGUGGGCGCAGGAGACUUGAGAGGAGCUGUCCUUAGUACGAGAGGACCAGGAUGGACGGACCUCUGGUGUGUGGGUUGUUCUGCCAAGAGCAGCGCCCAGUAGCUAUGUUCGGAUGGGAUAACCGCUGAAAGCAUCUAAGUGGGAAACCCGCCUCAAGAUUAGGUCUCCCUCCCGAGAAAUCGGGACUAAAGGUCUGUGGUAGACUACCACUUUGAUAGGCUGGGUGUGUAAGUCCGGUAACGGAUUGAGCUAACCAGUACUAAUAGACCGUGUGCCUUGAUCCACC